AUUUGAAAUCUGGCCCCCUUGGGGUCCGAGUUGUAAUUUGCAGAGGAUGCUUCGGGUGCGGUCCCCGUCUAAGUGCCCUGGAACGGGCCGUCAUAGAGGGUGAGAAUCCCGUCUGGGAUGGGCGGCCGCGCCCGUGUGAAGCUCCUUCGACGAGUCGAGUUGUUUGGGAAUGCAGCUCUAAGCGGGUGGUAAAUUUCAUCUAAAGCUAAAUACUGGCCGGAGACCGAUAGCGCACAAGUAGAGUGAUCGAAAGAUGAAAAGCACUUUGAAAAGAGAGUUAAACAGCACGUGAAAUUGUUGAAAGGGAAGCGUUGUCCACCAGACUCGCCCGGGGGGGUUCAGCCGGCACGUGUGCCGGUGUACUCCUCUCCGGGCGGGCCAGCAUCGGUUUGGGCGGCUGGUGAAAGGCCCCGGGAAUGUAACACCCUCCGGGGUGCCUUAUAGCCCGGGGUGCCAUACAGCCAGCCUGGACCGAGGCCCGCGCUUCGGCGAGGAUGCUGGCGUAAUGGUGGUCAACGGCCCGUCUUGA
rnacentral:rRNA from 1 species